UACGGAGGGAGCUAGCGUUGUUCGGAAUUACUGGGCGUAAAGCGCACGUAGGCGGCUUUGUAAGUUAGAGGUGAAAGCCCGGGGCUCAACUCCGGAAUUGCCUUUAAGACUGCAUCGCUUGAAUCCGGGAGAGGUGAGUGGAAUUCCGAGUGUAGAGGUGAAAUUCGUAGAUAUUCGCAAGAACACCAGUGGCGAAGGCGGCUCACUGGCCCGAUACUGACGCUGAGGUGCGAAAGCGUGGGGAGCAAACAGG
rnacentral:rRNA from 1 species